rfam:Bosea thiooxidans strain CGMCC 9174 V5_41, whole genome shotgun sequence.
CUUCGUUGCCCUCCUUGGGCGUUUCCUCCCUAGACUUGGGCCGCCACGCCAGUGUGCGGCCCUUUUUUCUUGGCCGG